rnacentral:rRNA from 1 species
UACGAAGGGUGCAAACGUUGCUCGGAAUUAUUGGGCGUAAAGCGCACGUAGGCGGCUUUGCAAGUCCCAUGUGAAAGCCCACGGCUUAACCGUGGAAGUGCAUGGGAAACUGCAGAGCUUGAGUACUUAAGAGGAUCGCGGAAUUCCCGGUGUAGAGGUGAAAUUCGUAGAUAUCGGGAGGAACACCAGUGGCGAAGGCGGCGAUCUGGGAAGAUACUGACGCUGAGGUGCGAAAAGCGUGGGGGAGCAAACAGG